AGCGUAGGCGGACAUUUAAGUCAGGGGUGAAAUCCCGGGGCUCAACCUCGGAAUUGCCUUUGAUACUGGGUGUCUUGAGUAUGAGAGAGGUGUGUGGAACUCCGAGUGUAGAGGUGAAAUUCGUAGAUACUCGGAAGAACACCAGUGGCGAAGGCGACACACUGGCUCAUUACUGACGCUGAGGCUCGAAAGCGUGGGGAGCAAACA
rnacentral:rRNA from 1 species